rnacentral:tRNA from 1 species
GCCGAGGUAGCUCAGUCGGUUGGAGCGCCAGACUCAUAAGUUAUUAAAAUUUUAUAAAAUUUUAAAAUUUAAUCCAUAAGGCGCUGAGAUAUCUGGAGGUCGUGUGUUCAAGUCACGCCCUCGGCA